UUGAACGCUGGCGGCAUGCUUUACACAUGCAAGUCGAACGGUAACAGGUUAAGCUGACGAGUGGCGAACGGGUGAGUAAUGCAUCGGAACGUGCCCGAUCGUGGGGGAUAACGCAGCGAAAGCUGCGCUAAUACCGCAUACGAUCUGAGGAUGAAAGCGGGGGACCGUAAGGCCUCGCGCGAUCGGAGCGGCCGAUGUCAGAUUAGGUAGUUGGUGGGGUAAAGGCUCACCAAGCCGACGAUCUGUAGCUGGUCUGAGAGGACGACCAGCCACACUGGGACUGAGACACGGCCCAGACUCCUACGGGAGGCAGCAGUGGGGAAUUUUGGACAAUGGGGGCAACCCUGAUCCAGCCAUGCCGCGUGAGUGAAGAAGGCCUUCGGGUUGUAAAGCUCUUUCAGCCGGGAAGAAAUCACAUGGGUUAAUACCCUGUGUGGAUGACGGUACCGGAAUAAGAAGCACCGGCUAACUACGU
rnacentral:rRNA from 1 species